UGUGACUAACAUGUUAGAAUUUGAAUUCAAAUUAGUUUGAUCUUUACAUGGACAAAGACUUGCAUUAGUUCCUAAAAAAAUUUGAAGACAUACAAAAGUUUAAAGUUUCAUGACAAGUUUAAGUUCUCUGAUUCUAGGAACUUGGAGUCAUUUUAAUUGGUAUUAGAUGGGAAAACCAGACACUAUAGCCAUUAUAUAGAUUUUCAACAAUGCCAGACUCAGAGUAUAUACAGUCAGGACAAAAAGAAUUUACAAGACUAUCCACAACCCUCUCAUCUUGAUGAAUUGUUAAACCACAGAAACUUAAAGAAGACCUACAGAUAACCUAGGAUGUACAAUAUAAAGAACACCUACAGAAACCUAGGCUGCAUAGUAUAUACCACAAUGUAAAAGGAUCGGCCAGUUGCGUUCAUCUAUUAGGAACCCAAAAAUUGAGCAAUGACCUUAAAGAGUAAGCCAUGUGUACAGUAAGAUAUCCAUCUUUGAAGUUACCAAAGAGUGGGGGUAAGAACCUAGUCUAUCAUUAUACAUGGGGGUAAAGUGACUUCAAAGAAUUGAAAUAAGAGUUUUUACAGAGGAUAUAGGUAUACCGUAUUUUUAAUUUUUUUUGGUCCUGUUUGUAAGUUUGUCAUAAAGAAGUGGUAUGUGGUAUUAAUGUCAAUGGGAUAAAACACACAGAUAAAAAUAAAUUAAAUACCUUUUUAAGUAUGGAUGAAGAAAGACAGACUACCCUAUAACCAAAAGAAAGGACAGACAAAAGUAUGCCAAACAAUACACACACUAAAAAAUGUACAACACCAAUCAAAUCAAAGACCAAGGAUGAACUCAGGUGAUCCAGGAAGUCGGCACCAAAAGAAAGGACAGACAAAAGUAUACCAAACAAUACACAAACUAAAAAAUGUACAACACCAACCCAAUCAAAUAUCAAGGAUGAACUCAGUUGAUCUAGGAAGACGGAACCAAAAGAAAUGACACACAAAAGUAACUAAAAAACGUACAACACCAACCCAAUCAAAGAACAAGGAUGAACUCAGGUGAUCCAUAAAGUUGGAACCACAAAAAAUGACAAGACAAAAUUUAACAAAACACUAAACUGAUAACUAAAAAUGUACAACACUUACACCCAACCAGAGGCCAGGGAUGAACUUGGGUGACCCAGGACAGAAGUACUACAAGGAUUGUUUUGUUUACUACCAGGACAGAAGUGGGUGAGUAAUUGAUAUGUUAACAAAUAUACAAAUUGAUAAAGUUAAGGGUGUUUUUUUGUUCAUUGUUUCUUCAAUUUUAAAUUUUAAAUGUGACAAGAUAAAGAUGGCACAUAAUUUUCAAAUAUAGUUUUUGAAAAAUAUUUUUCUUUGUUUGUUAUUUUGAAGUAUCUUCAUGUUUGGCAAAGUUUUACUUGAAAUAAAUAUACUCCAAAAUUUAUUAAAUUGAUAGACCUUUUUUCACAGAAAAUAUUGGUUAUUUGACAAUCAUGUGAGUCAGGUUAAGACAAUGAUGACUCAGUCUUACUCAAUGAAACACUGGUAUCUUGCAUUAUGAGGGGCUUUAGCAAGGCAUGCUACCUUGUGUAAAAGAAUAAA